rnacentral:rRNA from 1 species
CCUACGGGUGGCUGCAGUGAGGAAUAUUGGUCAAUGGGCGAGAGCCUGAACCAGCCAAGUCGCGUGAAGGAAGAAGGAUCUAUGGUUCGUAAACUUCUUUUGCAGGGGAAUAAAGUGCAGGACGUGUCCUGUUUUGUAUGUACCCUGAGAAUAAGGAUCGGCUAACUCCGUGCCAGCAGCCGCGGUAAUACGGAGGAUCCGAGCGUUAUCCGGAUUUAUUGGGUUUAAAGGGUGCGUAGGUGGUUUAAUAAGUCAGCGGUGAAAGUUUGCAGCUUAACUGUAAAAAUGCCGUUGAAACUGUUAGACUUGAGUGUAAAUGAGGUAGGCGGAAUGCGUGGUGUAGCGGUGAAAUGCUUAGAUAUCACGCAGAACUCCGAUUGCGAAGGCAGCUUACCAAGCUACAACUGACACUGAAGCACGAAAGCGUGGGGAUCAAACAGGCUUAGAUACCCUGUAGUC